UAAUGUUCUCUCUCGCCAUCGCCAUAUUGAUAUAAAAGUUUGUCUUGUGAAAUACACGAUGUGCAGUAUUCCUGUAUGAUGUAGUUAUCCAAUCCUUCUUGUUGUGUCAAAUAUAAAUUUUAAUUUUUAGUUAUUAAAUUCUACGUGAAAAGAUCAUAUUAAUACAUAUAAUUAUAUAUUGAAAGCUAGCUUUUGAAUUAAAACCAUGUGAAUUGAAUCUUCGGAUAUAUAAUAGUAACGUCAAUAAAUUUUGGUUUAGGUUUUCAAAUACACAUUUGCAUUGAAACUUGAAGCAGUUUUAUUUUAAGGACGCUACUGAUUUUCACAUACGUAUUUGCAUAGAAUCUUGAAGUUUAUUUUUAAGAAGGCUUCUAACAAGUUUAAAGUUAUCAAGAAUUUUGUUUCAUAUAAUUCUGCUAUUAGAGAAACAUAAUAAGUUUUAAAUUCUGGAAAGAUAUUUGCAUUUUUGAGCAUACGGCAUUUUCCGGGACCGCUAAACUUUUUAUAAGAUUAAAACGAUUUAAAUUGUAUCUUCAGCUAUAAUGCAUUAAUUUUGGUUUGAAUGUCCACACACAUCAAUGCAUUAAUGGUUGAAAUAAUAAUUCUAUUUUAAAAAGGGCUUUUGGUUUUCACACCCACAUUUGCGUUGAGACUACUGCGAGAGAGAAGUAGGUUUAUUUUUAAGAAGGCUUCUGAAGGCUUCUGGUAAGUCUACAUUUCACGAGAAUUUUGUCUCAUAUAAUCCUGCUAUUAGAGCAACAUAAUAAGUUUUAAAUUCUGUAAAGCUAUUUGCAUUUUUGAGUAUAUGGCAUUUUCUGGGACAGCAUAAAUUUAUGUAAGGUAUUGCUUUUUCGUAUUAUUUCCAUUAAAAUUUUAAUUUCUAGUUAUAUUUUACUUUAAAAUAUCAUAUUUACAUUAUAAUUAAGUGUUGAAAAUGGAUUUGUAGAUUAAAACAAUUUAAAUUGAAUAUUCGGGUAUAAUGCAUUAAUUUUUGUUUGCAUGUCCACACACAUCAAUGCAUUAAUGGUCGAAAUAAUUCUAUUUUAAGAAGAGCUUCUGUUUUAAUUGCUACUUUAAAAGAUCAUAUUCACAUUAUAAUUACAUGUUGCGAUCUGAUAUUUGGAUUAAAGGUUUUCACAUACACUUUGCAUUGAAACUUAAAGUAGUUUUAUUUUAAGAAAGUUACUGGUAAGUCUACAUUUAUCAAGGAUCUUAUUUCAAAUAAUUCUGCUAU